GCCAUCUUUAUGAGAAUCGUGGAAUGAAUGAAGUUCAUGAACAGAGGUGCCACUGUACAGUAGGCUCAUCAGAUUGUGGAGGCAACAUAUCCCUUAUCUGAGUGUACCAGUCUCGUCCAUUUUCUGAAUGACCCCAAAAGCUUCCCCUCUGUCAUUAUCCAAUAGGUUCACAGAAAAAGUGGCCGUGGUGGCAUGGGUGGAGGUUAUGCACAAGCCCCAAAACAUGGACUUCCAUUCACCAGGGCCAACUUGGCUGUAGACACCGCUGAGUAACCAGU
rnacentral:lncRNA from 1 species